GACGAACGCUGGCGGCGUGCUUAACACAUGCAAGUCGAACGGAAAGGCCCUGCUUUUGUGGGGUGCUCGAGUGGCGAACGGGUGAGUAACACGUGAGUAACCUGCCCUUGACUUUGGGAUAACUUCAGGAAACUGGGGCUAAUACCGGAUAGGAGCUCCUGCUGCAUGGUGGGGGUUGGAAAGUGUCGGCGGUUGGGGAUGGACUCGCGGCUUAUCAGCUUGUUGGUGGGGUAGUGGCUUACCAAGGCUUUGACGGGUAGCCGGCCUGAGAGGGUGACCGGCCACAUGGGGCUAGGGGAGGGGCCAGGACCCAUACGGGGGGCAUGGGGGGGAAAAUUGCAGAACGGGGCGGAGUCCUAGAGGAACAACCCCGGUUCGGGAAACGCGGCUUUUGGGUUAGAACCAAUUUUCCCCUGGCAAGGAGCGUGCGGGAGGUUAAUGGUCAAAAAAGCACCGGAAACUCCCGG
rnacentral:rRNA from 1 species